AAAUUGAAGAGUUUGAUCAUGGCUCAGAUUGAACGCUGGCGGCAGGCCUAACACAUGCAAGUCGAACGGUAACAGGAAACAGCUUGCUGUUUCGCUGACGAGUGGCGGACGGGUGAGUAAUGUCUGGGAAACUGCCUGAUGGAGGGGGAUAACUACUGGAAACGGUAGCUAAUACCGCAUAACGUCGCAAGACCAAAGAGGGGGACCUUCGGGCCUCUUGCCAUCGGAUGUG
rnacentral:rRNA from 2 species